GGACUGGCUUUAGCUCAGGGGUUCCUUUGGUUCAAGACCCCUGGUACCCUCCAGUUCUUAA
rfam:Myotis davidii contig148428, whole genome shotgun sequence.